rnacentral:rRNA from 1 species
GACGAACGCUGGCGGCGUGCUUAACACAUGCAAGUCGAACGAUGAAGCGGUGCUUGCACCGUGGAUUAGUGGCGAACGGGUGAGUAAUACGUGAGUGACCUACCUUCGACUCUGGGAUAAGCCUGGGAAACUGGGUCUAAUACCGGAUACGACCAAUCUCUGCAUGGGGUGUUGGUGGAAAGCGUUAUGGAGUGGUUUUAGAUGGGCUCACGGCCUAUCAGCUUGUUGGUGAGGUAAUGGCUUACCAAGGCGACGACGGGUAGCCGGCCUGAGAGGGUGACCGGCCACACUGGGACUGAGACACGGCCCAGACUCCUACGGGAGGCAGCAGUGGGGAAUAUUGCACAAUGGGCGCAAGCCUGAUGCAGCGACGCCGCGUGAGGGAUGACGGCCUUCGGGUUGUAAACCUCUGUUAGCAUCGAAGAAGCGAAAGUGACGGUAGGUGCAGAGAAAGCGCCGGCUAACUACGUGCCAGCAGCCGCGGUAAUACGUAGGGCGCGAGCGUUGUCCGGAAUUAUUGGGCGUAAAGAGCUUGUAGGCGGUUGGUCGCGUCUGCUGUGAAGGCCGGGGCUUAACUCCGGUUUUGCAGUGGGUACGGGCUAACUAGAGUGCAGUAGGGGAGACUGGAAUUCCUGGUGUAGCGGUGGAAUGCACAGAUAUCAGGAGGAACACCGAUGGCGAAGGCAGGUCUCUGGGCUGUAACUGACGCUGAGAAGCGAAAGCAUGGGGAGCGAACAGGAUUAGAUACCCUGGUAGUCCAUGCCGUAAACGUUGGGCACUAGGUGUGGGGGACAUUCCACGUUUUCCGCGCCGUAGCUAACGCAUUAAGUGCCCCGCCUGGGGAGUACGGCCGCAAGGCUAAAACUCAAAGGAAUUGACGGGGGCCCGCACAAGCGGCGGAGCAUGCGGAUUAAUUCGAUGCAACGCGAAGAACCUUACCAAGGCUUGACAUGCAUUAGAUCGCGUCAGAGAUGGCGUUUCCCUUCGGGGCUGGUGUACAGGUGGUGCAUGGUUGUCGUCAGCUCGUGUCGUGAGAUGUUGGGUUAAGUCCCGCAACGAGCGCAACCCUCGUUCUAUGUUGCCAGCGGUUCGGCCGGGGACUCAUAGGAGACUGCCGGGGUCAACUCGGAGGAAGGUGGGGAUGACGUCAAAUCAUCAUGCCCCUUAUGUCUUGGGCUUCACGCAUGCUACAAUGGCCGGUACAGAGGGUUGCGAUACUGUGAGGUGGAGCUAAUCCCUUAAAGCCGGUCUCAGUUCGGAUUGGGGUCUGCAACUCGACCCCAUGAAGUCGGAGUCGCUAGUAAUCGCAGAUCAGCAACGCUGCGGUGAAUACGUUCCCGGGCCU